rnacentral:rRNA from 1 species
GAUAAACGCUGGCGGCGCACAUAAGACAUGCAAGUCGAACGGACUUAACCAUUAGUUUACUAUUGGAGCGGUUAGUGGCGGACUGGUGAGUAACACGUAAGCAACCUGCCUGCUAGAGGGGAAUAACAGUGAGAAAUCACUGCUAAUACCGCAUAUGCUCACAGUAUCGCAGGAUACAGUGAGGAAAGGAGUAAUCCACUAGCAGAUGGGCUUGCGUCUGAUUAGAUAGUUGGUGGGGUAACGGCCUACCAAGUCGACGAUCAGUAGCCGAACUGAGAGGUUGAACGGCCACAUUGGGACUGAGAUACGGCCCAG